rnacentral:rRNA from 1 species
CCAAUAGCGUAUAUUAAAGUUGUUGCAGUUAAAAAGCUCGUAGUUGAAUUUCGGGGUUAGUAGGUUGGCCAUGCCUCUGGUAUGUACUGGUCUCACUGAUUCCUCCUUCCUGAUGAGCCGUAAUGCCAUUAAUUUGGUGUUGCGGGGAAUUUGGACUGUUACUUUGAAAAAAUUAGAGUGUUUAAAGCAAGCUAACGCUUGAAUACAUUAGCAUGGAAUAAUGAAAUAGGACGUUCGAUCCUAUUUUGUUGGUUUCUAGGAUUGACGUAAUGAUUAAUAGGGAUAGUUGGGGGCAUUAGUAUUCAAUUGUCAGAGGUGAAAUUCUUGGAUUUAUUGAAGACUAACUACUGCGAAAGCAUUUGCCAAGGAUGUUUUCAUUAAUCAAGAACGAAAGUUAGGGGAUCGAAGACGAUCAGAUACCGUCGUAGUCUUAACCAUAAACUAUGCCGACUAGGGAUCGGAUGAUGUUAAUUUUUUAAUGACUCAUUCGGCGCCUUACG